GUGAAGGUGAUGGGUGGGGGAAAAUCCAGGCAGGCGUUUGAGCAGGCAGAGGGUUGGGGAGCAAAGCAGGUGGAAACGCAGCGGUUCUUGCACGGGAUGUACUGGCAGCUAGCUCUGGAUGGCAGUAGCAGCCUGGUCUCUUAGCGGUGCCUGGGAAGCUGCAAAUUCAGCGAAGUGCAUCGAAACCUCGGCGCUGGUCCUCGCGCUGCAGUGGGCCCACGUACACCAGCGGCUUCCAGUUCUGUCACCGGAGAAAAUGUGUCGCUAGUGUAUGCAGAUUGCAGUGUACAGAUACUGCUGGUAUUGCCCGGUGCUCACUGUGGGUCUGGGUGAAUCACAGAGAUGCUCCAUUCAGCAAGUUCCCAGCUGCUUACAGGCAGAUUUUAACUUCUGCUUGGAAACCAGACUGGACACUGCCAUGUGAAAUAGGCAAAGAGCCUCGCACUGGUCUUCUACUAACACUGAAAACGGAACUUGAUUGCUGCAAGGGAACCAGAACCACCCCAAACACUGUUUCUACUUUGCUUUUGUGAAUAGGUUUGUUUCAGCAAGAAGCUGUUUCUGUGACAGAGCAGAGUAUGGCCUGGAUAACAGGAGGCACGUUGAGCAGAUCAGAAGAAAAGAAGCGCUUCCUUGCAGUGAGUCUGCCUGGCUUUGAAGGAGUGACAUAAAAGAAGUGAGAAAACCCUUGUAGUCUUCAUGUUUUAAAGUAAGGCAAGACAUAGAGAAAUGCAGCCCCUCGUAAGACAGGUGGGAGGCUGUGCUAGGAGAAGGGUGUUGUUAGCCAACAUGACCCUUCAAAAGCUUCACAAGACGGACACUUUUUUUCUCCCCAUGAUGUCCAACUCAGACCUCUUUCACUUUGCAAGGGCUUCAGCAGGUGUGUACUUAAUGCAGCUACUUCUGGUGGGGAAGAGGACAUCCAUUUGGCCUCAGUUCCUAUUGGGGUUGGGAGCAGGGAAUUAAAGACACCAGGUAAGCAUCAUUAUUCCCCCCUCCCCAAAGUACAAGAGCUCUGUUCAUCUCCCAGGUCGCCAGGGGAAAGGGAAAAAAAAGGAGAAUGAAUCCAGUCCUAAAGCAUUAAGCAAAGCUCCAGAAAGGAAGGUAGCUAUUUAAAAAAGAGACUGCAGAAAAAUCUAUCUGAUUUCUCAAGUAAAUUCGUUUUUAUUAAGGGUGAUUAAUAUCUGCUAAUGAGUGUUAGACCAUUACCCAUACUGCCACCCUAGGUAGG
ensembl:lncRNA